UUCUGGGCUGGCGGUGGCGGACGGUUUGUUUGAUCACGAUGGCCAGUCAAAAACGAUCUUGAGCAAAUGGACAAGGAAGGAACAGAUGAGUGCGAGAUUACUGGAUACUGUUCGUUUCUGAAGCUGUGUUGAAUUUUUGUGAUUUUCAAGACGGCCUCUGUUCAUAAUGUAUCUUGUGGGGGAUAAGCAUGCAUGACCCAUUGAACAAAUCUGGAGGUCCCAAGUGAGCUGGUGGAACAAUGAGAGCAGCUACUUUUCCAUGAGUCUGAGGAAGAACACUUUGUUCCAUGUUCCCUUCUGUGCUUUUGUCGUUCUUCAGGCAUAAAAUGUUGCAUAACACGAAUCUCAAACCACACAAUCCACACAGACAAGUCCAGUAGGAGUCACGGUCAGCUCAAGAGGUCUCGCGCUUGGCUUCUUUGCGGCAGCCCAUCGAAGCUGAAUCAAGUACUUGCUAAUGUCAUCUGCAAUUCAAGAAGGCCAAUUGAUUACAGAGCUUUGCACAGAAAUAAACUUGCAGUAGCGAAACACUGCAUUCACGAGUCAAAUACUGAGAGUGCGAAUGCAUAGGGCUAGACAGUAGUUCAUGGUCAAUUUUUGUGUGCACCCUGCGAAAUCAAGCACCACACUGAUUAGAUACCUGCCAUCCACCCCCUUUUAAUGAUUUGGUAUAUUCGUCUCCCAUAAAGACAUGUUUGGAUGCUGUAGAUGCUAUACAGCACACAAGACAUCUCAAAGAAAGCCCCAUGUUCAAGGGAGACUUCCGAACAAAAUGGAUUUCAAGCUUGCGGUAUUCCCACAGUCAUUCACACAAACUGAACACAGUUGUGAAAUAUCUCUCUUGAAAACGAAGGUGGAAUCGUAAAAAUGACUUUCGAAAUUUGAAAAAGUCUGGCUCACACUGAACGUGAAUGGAAGUGUACUUCUUCUUUUCUCUGCUUGGCCAACGUCACCGUGCAUUAGUCAUACCAUUCCUGCGCUGUUUUCUGACUCUAAGGAAAGUAGAUGACCGCUGUUUCUUUCCAUCUGUGUCUGAGUGAUCUGAACCCCAAUCUUCGUGCAUUGUUUUGUUCUUGGAAUGUAACACAGCGGCUACGACCAGCGUGGUAUACUACUUGUCCGCUCCAUGCAAGGUGAAGAAACGCGUUGUGUGAAAAUUGUGUGAAUGCUCACUUCCAAGUAGCAGACGACAAUAGGGGGAUGUGGUGCAUGACCCAGCUUCCACGAGCUGCCGCUAAAAGCUGAGCGCGAGGUUUAGCAGAGCUUGACUCCUCCAGAGAUCGGAGAUCAAAAAUUGUUUUCUUGUGUAUAAUAAAAAAUAUACUUUUGUAAAAUGUGUUCGUGUGUUCCAUGGACAUGAUAUUUUGUUCUAAUAUUCACCACAUAUUUUCCUGCUGUCCACCAUUUUUUUUAUAUAUGAGGUUAAAUUUGUCAUUUGUUUGAGUUCGUCCUUAGUUUCUGUAUUUUUAUUUUUUUCUUCUUUCUUCUUUAUUUACCCAUUUCUCUUCCUUGCCUUUGAACAAAAAUUUCUAAGCUCAUUCACCUCUUUCGUAUCUCGUAGAUUAAUUUUUUUUUUCUUUUUUUUUUUUCAGUCUUGCUCGAAGUGUAGUGGGAAAAAAAUAACCAAUGUUGCGUUUCGAUUUCCCUUUCACACAACCACGCAGUUGCAUACGGUGACUCAUGAGACCAUUUUGAGUUUUCAGAUACACAGACCAACGCUUCUUCCUUGCUACAGCCAAAAAUAUUAUCAAUCUCAUCCUGAUUUUUGUGCCACUAUUUGUUUCCUACAUGGGUAGUCAGAGGCAAUAGGAGAUAUGCGAAAUAGUGCCAUCUGUUGAGCGCACUGCUCCUGACCGUCAUGGCUGGGGCAGAUCUCUCACCAGCUGUAGUGAGGCAAGGGGCGUUCCUCUAAAACUGAACCCACAGCCGAAAUUUUUGCCACAUGCUGCCUCGGUGGUGUACCAAAUAUUUCGACUGGGUGUGCUAAUUACUAAAACUAUUCAAAACAUAGUCUCAACGGCAGAAAUAGUCCUGCAGUCUUGCGGUCGAUUCUGUUUCAGCCUGAUUUUACCCGGCAUUUGUCUUCCGCGUUCAGCAUUUGUAUUGUUGUAUUUUCUUUGUUUUGUACAACACUUCACUUUUCAUUGCAACAACCCGCUUGUUUUAGCUAAUUAGAGCUCUUUCUGUUUUCGUUAACAAUGAGAUUUGGGACCUGAAAUACAUGGGGGCUUAUUAAAAUGCUGUGAAUCACCCUUUUUUUAAUAAGCCGUACACAGAAUGGAUGAAAACAAUGUCUGUCUCUCGGUACGUUCUGACAUUUUACAUUCACUUGGUUGAAACUUGUGAACUACAUGUUAAACUCCAUCACUUUAACUCGUUCAUCUGUUUGUAUUUUCUGUGUGUAAGCGUCCCGGUAUAGCCAGUUCGACUUUGUCAUGAUACACAUCCCAAUUUUUUCUUUUUCUUUAUCACAUCACAUCUCCGCAGAUCUUUUGUCUUGCCUUGUUGUUUCAUAUAAUGUUGACGUUUUACUGUCUACUAUCACUGAAUCAAUGAAGUUGAUGUUCACACAGCCGUUUUCAGUAAGGUAAUCUCGAUAGUACCACAGUCGCUUCUAGUUUCCGAAACAUGCUAAUGUCUGCAUCAUUGGUGCAUGAGCGAGCAGCAGCUGUCUGAUUCUAAAGUGGCAGAUAUGAGAGGCUGCAUAAUGUGAAUGAUCACGCAUAUUCAUGCCCUCUACUCAUUACGGUCUUUCUCUGCCCCGAUGGUCGCCUCAACUACAGAAUACCAGUGCCGUGUAUUAAACGGGACCUGCAUAUACCUGAGACUCCACCCACAUUUUGAGGUAUCCAGCCAAUCACAGGUCAAAAUACAGUUCCCUAUCAUUGCAGGCCAUCCAGUACUUAUACCUCACCCUUAUUUACUGGGUGCCACCAAUUUGGAGAAACUGGAUUGAUUGGAUCGAAACGGAUAUCACUGAUGACAGACCAUAACGAUGGAUCCCACUUUUAUCAACGCCAUCUGCAUGGAGAGAUGCAUGUUGGGAAGACCCAGAAUUGCAGAAAUGGUUGCUGGCAGAAGUGAUAGGCCAGGAGAGUGGUAGAACCGCUUCUUCGUAGCAGACGACUGCUUUCAAGCCAUGUAACAUAGGUAGAUUGAAUAAAAAAUGCACAAAGAUGUA